UCUCCUCUAUUCUCAGUAAUGUGUUCCUCUUAAUUCUUCUUAGUUAUAGAGUCUACUUUUCCUUGCAGUUAGCUAUGAAUUUAAACCCUAGGGCAUGAAAUUUCUGGUGAUUUCCCACUCUUGGUUAUAAAUUUCAGAUCUGAAUGUAACUGUAUUGUUUUUGUUGAGAUCGGCGCUGGAAAUUCAUGCGUGUUGAUUUAUAAGUGUGAUUAUAAAAUCUCAGAUCUGAUAAUUUCAUCUCUUCCUCUUUGUUAUUAGGGCUUAAAUUUAUACAAAUUUAUAUUUUACAGAUAUGGAAUAUUUGCUAUUUUUCUUAAAAUUCUAGUUGAUUGAUUAGAUGUUUUGAGAGGGAAUCGGGCGAGAAAAUUUGUAUACUUUCUCUAUUUGUAUAAAUUUAUGUAUUAAUUGGUGUUUGAGUUUGAUUAAGAGUUUGACGGAGAUUUCAUUAAACCUGAAUUUAAAUUAGAGUUUGACUGAAAUUUGAUAAUUGUUUCGUUUGCGCAAAUCAUUGUUGUUAUAAAUGUCAUUUCCAUUAAAAAAAAAUGGGGAUUCUAUACCCUUUCAAAUCCCAUUCAAGAAUACCAUUCCCAUGGUCCAACAUUCCUCUCCACAAGAUUUUAUGAUGAAAUUACUUAGACAAUUGUGAUUUCAUAAUGGAAUAAGAGUGCUGUCCCAUUUUAUUGCAUUAUUUUCUGACCUGCGGACGAAACUCAUCAACAAUUUGCCGAUCUGAUAGAUUACUCUCAUGUUUCUCUUGUUCUAUUCUUAUUGGAAGAGUCCUGAGGAUUGGGUGAGGAUCAGAUAAUCUGCAUCCUGAGGUUUAGAACAAUACUUUUAGCUGAAUUUGCAUUGUUUCUAGCCCUCACGAUGCAGAUUACCUCUUCCUUACAUCAAUACGUCUACAAAGCAAAUCAUUCAUAUGAAAGUCCUUCGAUCGUGUUCUUGUAUUGAGGAGACCAUGGCCAAGAAGCAAAACAAGGUUGGAUUUAUUCAGUUGUAGGGGCUCCAAGUUAGAUGCCAAUUCGUAUGGAUAUGCUUAUGUCUGGGCAGUGCUUGACCUGAAUGUAUGUAUAUACAUACGCACCCUUGCAUGUGAUAUACUAUCAUUGUAAAUCAAUGAUGUUUUCGGUUCCUGAGCCAAAAGCUCCGAGUUAUUCCUGAAACAGUAAAUCAUGUCGGCAUUUUAUGUUUUCGUCUUAUAAAAUUGUAUCGAAUCACUUUUAAACUUGUACUAGUUGCGAAUUUGGUUGAA